ensembl:miRNA
GGUUGGUGCAAAAGUAACUGCGGUUUUUGCUACUGAAAGUUAUGGCAAAAACCACAGUUACUUUUGUACCAA